rnacentral:rRNA from 1 species
AGUGGCGAACGGGUGAGUAACACGUGGGUGAUCUGCCCUGCACUUUGGGAUAAGCCUGGGAAACUGGGUCUAAUACCGGAUAGGACUACGCACUGCAUGGUGUGUGGUGGAAAGCUUUUGCGGUGUGGGAUGGGCCCGCGGCCUAUCAGCUUGUUGGUGGGGUGAUGGCCUACCAAGGCGACGACGGGUAGCCGGCCUGAGAGGGUGACCGGCCACACUGGGACUGAGAUACGGCCCAGACUCCUACGGGAGGCAGCAGUGGGGAAUAUUGCACAAUGGGCGCAAGCCUGAUGCAGCGACGCCGCGUGAGGGAUGACGGCCUUCGGGUUGUAAACCUCUUUCGCCAGGGACGAAGCGCAAGUGACGGUACCUGGAGAAGAAGGACCGGCCAACUACGUGCCAGCAGCCGCGGUAAUACGUAGGGUCCGAGCGUUGUCCGGAAUUACUG